UGUAAAUUUUGUGAGACCAAAAGUAUCUGAGACAGAUCUCAAUCAAUUCAGAAAGUGUAUUUUGCCAAGGUUAAGGACGUGCCCAUGACACAGCCACAGGGGGUCCUGAUGACAUAUGCCUGGGGUGGUC